UGCAGAUACUUUGGUCAACGGUAUGAAUUUUAUCUAUCUUGUUUCACAUGUUUUUGGCUUGGUUACCUCUUUGAUCGCACCAAGAUAUAUGUAAUUGACUCUGGGAGGAGUUCGGACCAUGGGAGACGGCUUCACCUCCAGCCCAUCAGUGUUUCAGUAAGCAAUGGUUGCGCUGGAGGAGAAGGGUGGUAGCGGCGCCGCGAGGCUGGAGGUGCCGACAGGGAGGUGGCUCACGGGGAGCUUCAAUCUAACAAGCCACUUUGUGUUCUUCCUGCACCAUGGCUGGGUCAUCCUCGCCUCUGAGGGGAGCAACUGCCAGAACUCGGAAGCUAAUGAUAUUG